GCCGGUCUCACCACUGUCCUGUACACCUUCCCCUUGAUUCUCGCUGAUACUUUGAGUAACAAUAAACCGUUACUCAGUCAGAGAGUACAUUUAAUAUUAUAACAGAAAAGAAGAAACUUUUCCAUUCUGUCCAAUUGUGUUUUCUAUGUCAGAAUGAGUUGGGCACUGACACAGCACCUCCUCUAGCGCUGAACAGCAAGACCUGCAGAAAUUGUGAGACAUCGCAAUCAGGACCUUGUACACACAGUGUUGAGCCCAAUAGGACUUCACCACAAGCUUUACACGAGGACCUGCACAUGUUCCAGACCAAAUGAAACCCAGGAGUGGAACCCAGGAGUCAUGUUUGAAGAAGAUGAUUGACAUGCUGCAUCAUACAACAUCAUCUCCUUACAACUGAGACAGAAAUGAAAACAGACAGGAAACUGCUUUCCAUGAGACAGCACAAGUCUUUAUCGUACCAGAUCCCGACGUCCUCUGUGGGACGAAGCCUUUGGACGUCCACUGAGCCGAGGCCGACUGUAAGAAUCCUGAGACAUCUCCAGUUAGACUCUGUGAUUCUAAGGAGAUCCGAAGUCCAUGAUCCUUACA